AUUUAAUCUACAAUUGUCAAAGUAAAUAUUACCAAGUCUACAAGAUUCUAAUCAUCUGCAAGAAGUUCUUAAUAAACCGAACAUAUUUUUGUAUCUUUUAAUAAUGUAAAUUUAAUGUUGCUGAUUUCAGUAAUUAAGUUAAAAAGUUCAAGCGAUUGUCAGAUAUUAUUUAAUAUCUUUCAUUUGAAGAGUUCAAGGAUUCUGAUGUAAUAUUUUGACGAAUUAUCGACGCAGGAUCAAGAAUGGAAACCGAUGGUAGCACACUCCAUUUUUUGGUCACUCAUAAAGAUCCAAGACCCGAAAUAUGGAUAAUUUGAAAGUCAGGUUGAAAAAUUAUGAACCGAUGUUAGAUACUAUCGACAUUUUCAAUUUUUAAUUUACGGCUUAAUGUUGAUGUAAGUUAUCUAAAAAUUACCGUUUUUAAUCAAAAUGUAAUUUGUCAAUUAAGGUUUUCAAUCGACCACUUCAUGUCCAGUAAAGUCAAAUUCCUUGGUGUCCAACUCUAUUGUAUUUUCACCUUCAUAUUACCAAAAUAACAUGCUUUCAGUUGCUCCAUUGAUAAACCGGUUUUUUUGUUUACAUUUUUCCUCAUGGUCAACUUGAUUUACCAACCCGGUCUAACCCACCUCAAGUCACUUGGCCGAGUCAGUUAUUUCCAUUAUUAGAUCGGAAUUUACAACUUGGUCUCACUUAUCCUCUGGAAGAUAGGAUUGAUCCUGUCAUUGGCAAGUUUCAUUAAACAAUUAAUCGUUUAACCUUUAUAUAUUAGUUAAUAAUAAAUUAUGGUAGCUUCUCCGAGAAACCAGAGACACAAAUAGUUCAUUGUUCAUGGCGACUUUGUAACCUUUCAUAACAAUUUACACCAAAGUGAAUAAUAUGUGAUUUUGAUGUGUGAGUUACUAAAUGAAAUGAUUAAAUAAUAAAUCGGAAAGCAACAGGCAUGUAUGUUGUCAUGGUGUGAUAAAGUGUUCACUGUUUUGUUGCAAUGUUAAUGAAAUAUUGAACUAAUCAAAGGAAUUGAAUAUUUAUAUUAAUGAAUAGGCUCAUAGGAAGUAUUAAAAAAACAAAAUGUUUAAUGAAUAAACAAUUUCUGAACUAAUAAUUAAGAUUACAAUUGUUGAAUACUAUUGUUAUUCACGGUAUGGUAAAUUAAAUUAAAGGUGAGAUCAAAAUGAUUAA